GACUUCAGUCAGUCAUUUAUUCACUUUAUAACAGCACAAAUAUAUCGGUUCCGCAUAUUGGUUAUCAGGCACAUAAACACGCAAAUAACUGGUAUCGGUUAUAAAAAAAAAUCAAUAUUGGUCGAUCACUAGU